GGACAACCUACCCUCAGAUCUGGGAUAACUCCGGGAAACUGGAGAUAAUACCGGAUAAUCCGUGAACGCUGGAAUGCCUUACGGUUUAAAGCUUUAGCGUCUGAGGAUGGGUCUGCGGCCGAUUAGGUAGUUGCUGGGGUAACGUCCCAACAAGCCGAUAAUCGGUACGGGUUGUGAGAGCAAGAGCCCAGAGAUGGAUUCUGAGACACGAAUCCAGGUCCUACGGGGCGCAGCAGGCGCGAAAACUUUACACUGCGCGAAAGCGCGAUAAGGGGACCUCGAGUGCGUGCGCAAUGCGUACGCUUUUCAUACGCCUAAAAAGCAUGUGGAAUAAGAGCCGGGCAAGACCGGUGCCAGCCGCCGCGGUAACACCGGCGGCUCGAGUGGUGGCCGCUAUUAUUGGGCUUAAAGGGUCCGUAGCCGGACCAGUUAGUCCCUUGGGAAAUCUUACGGCUUAACCGUAAGGCUGCCAAUGGAUACUGCUGGUCUUGGGACCGGGAGAGGCAAGAGGUACCUCAGGGGUAGGAGUGAAAUCCUGUAAUCCUUGAGGGACCGCCAGUGGCGAAGGCGUCUUGCUAGAACGGGUCCGACGGUGAGGGACGAAAGCUAGGGGCACGAACCGGAUUAGAUACCCGGGUAGUCCUAGCCGUAAACGAUGCGAGCUAGGUGUCACGUGGAUUGCGAAUCCAUGUGGUGCCGUAGGGAAACCGUGAAGCUCGCCGCCUGGGAAGUACGGCCGCAAGGCUGAAACU
rnacentral:rRNA from 1 species